CCCACCUAUGCGGUUGUUGGUGCGCCGUGUGUGUGUGUGUGUCCUCUCACGUCUUCCUCGACUCUGACGACGCAGCCUUGCGCUUCCCUUCCGUUCCCCGGGGCGGCGAAUCUUACCCUCAUCGCCGUGAUCGAACAACGCGCAGAGGGAUGCAGCAAGAGCGAGCGAGCGAGAGAGAGAGAGAGAGCAAUGCUGAACAUAUGCGCUGCCUCAUUCCACUCCGCUUUCCUCCACACAUGCAUAUGUACGUUCUAUGCGAAAAGCGCACCUUGGGGCAUUGAGUGUGGACGACUGACGCUGCCGCGUCUUCUCUCCUUCGUACCUUUUCACUCGCGCCCGCCUGCGCGAGCGCAUGCGUGUGUGCCGGUGCCCGCGGAAGCGCUGGCUUUCUUUUGCCCGUCUAUCAUUGUGCGCUUGCGCGGGGUCAUGGCGGCGCGAGACGAGAUCGGGGGGGGCGGUCGAGUUUACUUGUUUAUUCGCAGUGCAAGCGCCAUCUUUGUCGUGUCUGCCGGCGUUGCUUCUGGUGCCCCUUUUCUCUGGGAGGGGGCCCCAGUGACCUCAUGGACCCCUUCUCCCUCUCCCGCCAUUUUCAGUGUCCGCGUUGACAGAGCAAGCCCCGCCCACCCGCGACCCCCUUCGCGUCUGCACCCGGUGAGGCAGGAAGGAGGAAGGACGGGGGUGGCACCGCACUCUCGCCAGCCCACAGGCGCAGGCGUAUGCGCGUGUCUGUGCCCUUGUAGCGAGGACGCGCUGCGUGCCUGCCGGUAUGGCCCUCUCGGUGUGUAGGCGGCACGAUCAAACACACACAGACACACAACCCGCCCCAGCAGUCGGAUCGAAUGGGACGAAUACGCCGGACUCGCCUGACGGCCUCGGUGCAUCUCUCCCUCUCUCCCGCUCUCGCACGCUGGGGAAGAAAUGGAAGCAUCUAUGUAGAUGGAUGUGUGCGUACGUGUGCUUGCGUGUGCCUGUGUAUGUUUGUGCGCUGAAUAACCACGGGUAAAUUUUACGAUGCAAUCCCUUAAGAUGAAUUCCACAGCAGAAAUACAGAAAAAAAAAGAAGAAACUCUCUAAUCAUGGGGGCGGCGUGGUAUAUGCAUGCAUGCAAGUCUGUGUGCUUGCAUAUCUGUGUUGCAGCGACAGCGCUAUCUUGUUCUUGAUCGGGGACGCGUUGGCGCUGCCACCAUUCCCACCCCCUCCCUUACUUUUCGUCCUUGUGGUCGCACGCAUGUGCGGCGCACAGGGGCGUGCUCUGUCACCUCCUCUCGUCCCGUUUCCUUUGUGCGUGGCGCAGAGGUAUUGAAGAGGCGAAAGGAGGGAUGAUGGGGAGAAAGGCGCGACCUCUUCGAGAGUGUCCUCUCAGUGCGUUCCGGCCUCUUUCUAUGCAUACGGAUGACGACACCAGUCCCGUCUGCGUGUGUCCUUGUCUGCGUGUAUUGGGGCCCCCCUUCAAGACGUACAUGCCGUGCCGAAAUUCAUCUCUCGAUCACACACUCUUUAUCCCGUAUCCUUUACACACUGGCCUUCUCCAUCCGCCCUCUCUUUUUUUUUUGUGCGCUGUGCUCAAACCCUGUCACGGUUUCUUCCUCUACCCCCUUCCACUCCCUUCCUUCGUUCCUUCGUCGCCGUUGAUGGCGCAG
rnacentral:misc_RNA from 1 species